rnacentral:rRNA from 1 species
UACGUAGGGUGCGAGCGUUGUCCGGAAUUAUUGGGCGUAAAGAGCUCGUAGGCGGUGUGUCGCGUCGGCCGUGAAAACUUGCAGCUUAACUGUGGGCGUGCGGUCGAUACGGGCAUCACUGGAGUUCGGCAGGGGAGACUGGAAUUCCUGGUGUAGCGGUGAAAUGCGCAGAUAUCAGGAGGAACACCGGUGGCGAAGGCGGGUCUCUGGGCCGAUACUGACGUGAGGAGCGAAAGCGUGGGGAGCGAACAGG